UACGUAGGGGACAAGCGUUGUCCGGAAUCAUUGGGCGUAGAGGGCGCGUAGGCGGUGCGGUAAGUCACCUGUGAAAUCUCCGGGCUUAACUCGGAGCCUGCAGGCGAAACUGCCGUGCUUGAGUGUGGGAGAGGUGCGUGGAAUUCCCGGUGUAGCGGUGAAAUGCGUAGAUAUCAGGAGGAACACCGGUGGCGAAGGCGGGUCUCUGGGCCGAUACUGACGCUGGAGGAGCGAAAGCGUGGGGAGCGAACAGG
rnacentral:rRNA from 1 species